CGACCUAAACUCCGUUGAAAGAAGAGUUAAAACUCGACGCAGUUUGCAUAUUCUUAGAAACCCAAAACAACAAGACAUCCAAAGUAGUAAAAUUCCAUACUGUCUUGAUAUUGGUUUGUAUAAGGACAGGGGUUUUGUCAGCUUUUCGUCUAUGCAUCUUCUUCAUCGGUCAUUGCAGAGCUUGACAUAUGUAUGAAUGGCUUGGCGAGGGGUUGGGAAAAAAGGAAUUAAUGCCAGUCUCGUAAGAGCUCUGUCUUCAGCGCCUCUGGGACGUGCAGCUGGGUUGAAUUCUGCAUCUACUUUUGAUCUUGCAGUAAAAUCAAUCACUGCUUCUGUUAAAUGCGUACCUGAUUCACCUCAUAUAUUUGCUACUGCAGAGUUCUCUUUCAGUUCGUUUCUAUGGGGAUCUAGGUAUUGCGAAGUUUUGAAAAAUGAACCUUUGAUACGGUAUUUUCAUGCAAGUCCGGAAUUGCUGGCUAGAAGGAAAAAUGAUGAGGGGUUGGGUUUAAAGAUUCGCAACAAAGAAAACACCAAAGGGAAGUUUGUCAAGCGGGAAAAGAAGACCCAGCCACCUGUUGAAGCUCCAUAUGUUCCUAAACUGAAAAGAACUAACAAAUCUUCACAAGAGAAAAUUGUCGAGAUUUUUGACGGCAUGACCAUUGUUGAGCUUGCAAAGCGAACUGGUGAGCACGUAGCUGCUCUUCAGGAUAUUCUCAUAAAUGUUGGGGAAAGCAUUGAUUCAGAAUUUCAUCCUCUAAGUAUUGAUAUUGCGGAGCUCAUUGCAAUGGAAGUUGGAGCCAGUGUCAAGAGGAUACAUGCCAGUGAGGGUGCAGAAAUUCUCCCACGACCACCUGUUGUGACAGUUAUGGGCCAUGUUGACCAUGGUAAAACUUCUCUUUUAGAUGCUUUACGUCAAACAUCAGUAGCAGCCAAAGAAGCUGGAGGCAUAACUCAACAUCUUGGUGCUUUUGUUGUUAGCAUGUCAUCAGGGGCAUCAAUUACAUUCCUUGACACCCCUGGUCAUGCUGCAUUUAGUGCAAUGCGAGCAAGAGGUGCAGCAGUCACAGAUAUAGUUGUGUUAGUUGUAGCUGCUGAUGAUGGUGUGAUGCCCCAGACUCUUGAAGCCAUGGCCCAUGCAAAGGCAGCUAAUGUCCCAAUUGUGGUUGCAGUAAACAAAUGUGAUAAACCAGCUGCUAACCCAGAGAGAGUAAAAAUACAGCUUGCUUCAGAGGGUUUGCUGUUGGAGGAUAUGGGUGGAGAUAUUCAGGUGGUAGAAGUUUCAGCAGUAAAGAAAACUGGAUUGGAUAACUUGGAGGAGGCUUUGCUACUGCAGGCUGAGGUGAUGAACCUAAAAGCACGCGUGGAUGGACCUGCUCAAGCUUAUGUCGUGGAGGCCAGACUUGACAAAGGGCGAGGCCCAUUAGCCACUGCAAUUGUAAAAGCAGGGACUUUGAUUUGUGGGCAGCAUGUGGUUGUGGGCUCAGAGUGGGGCAGAAUAAGAGCUAUUAGAGAUAUGGUUGGGAAAUUGACAGAGCGGGCAACACCUGCAAUGCCAGUUGAGAUUGAAGGUUUGAAGGGGCUUCCGAUGGCUGGUGAUGAUAUUAUCGUUGUGCAAUCUGAGGAGCGAGCUAGAAUGCUUAGUUCAGGGAGGAAAAAGAAAGUUGAGAAAGAUAGGCUCUGGAAGAUCAGUGAUGGAAGAGCUAAAGCUUUGGAGCGAUCAGAAGAGGUGCCUCAGAGGGCUGAAAUGCCAAUAAUUGUAAAAGGUGAUGUACAGGGCACUGUCCAGGCUGUCACAGAUGCAUUGAAAACCUUAAAUAGUCCGCAGGUUUUCGUGAAUGUAGUCCAUGUUGGAGUGGGGCCUGUUUCUCAAUCUGAUGUGGACCUAGCACAGGCAUGUGGUGCACGCAUUAUCGGAUUCAAUGUUAAAAGUCCAGCUGUUUCUGUUAGUAUGGCAGCCACUCAAGCCAGUGUAAAGAUACUGAUACACCGUGUAAUAUAUCACCUUUUGGAGGACAUUGGCAAUAUGAUAGUAGACAAGGCCCCUGGCACUUGUGAAACUCAGGUAGCUGGGGAGGCUGAGGUGUUGAAUAUCUUUGAGCUUAAAGGAAAGAGCAAAGCAAAGGGCGGGGAUAUGAAGAUUGCAGGUUGCCGGGUAAUUGAUGGUUGUUUCUACAAAUCAUCAACCAUGAGGCUGUUGAGAAGUGGAGAAGUUGUGUUUGAAGGAUCUUGCACGUCAUUGAAGCAGGAAAAGCAUGAUGUUGAGAAAGUGGGAAAAGGGAAUGAGUGUGGACUCGUGCUUUGUGAUUGUGAUACUUUCCAGAUUGGAGACAUCAUCCAAUGCUUGGAGCAAGUGGUUAGGAAACCAAAGUUCAUUUCGUCAGAGAGUGGGGCUGUUCGAAUUGAGUGCUGAAGCCACUUUUGAUAGUGAAGUUUUCUGACAUAGGAUACAGAUACUCCCACCAUUGGCGCUUUUAUUUGUUUGCCCCUACAAUUCUACAUUGAAAUUCAUGCAACGCCUGGCCUCACUGCGAGGCCCAUUUUCACGGGCUAAGCUUUCUCUCAACAAGCGAUAGAUCGUGCGGUACUUGAAUGGAUGCUUUCACCUAAGUCAGUCAAUGAUAGCUCGAUAUCUGAACAAGCAACUAUAAGCCACAGUUAAUCUUAAGCAUACACAAGAAGACACAUUUAUAUUGAGAGAACGAAAAAUACAUCGAGGCAACAUCGAGACUUUCGAAUAAAAGACGUAUUUUAUUAUUAUCAGGAAUAGUACAUCGAGAUUUCACACCAUCGUCGGGGUCAAGGGUAGCCUUUGACGGGUGGCCUACGUCUGUACCAUAACCAGUGAGAUAACCCAAUAAUAUGUUAACUGCUCACUCUCCUAAAGAGUUUAAGAGAUUUUAGAGUUAUGCUAUCACUAAUUGUUAUAAUGCUUGAAAUGGAGAUAUUUUUUUUAGCACAAAAGAUCUGUCUUCCCUCAUUGGCACCUCUACCUAAUCAUGACCUUAUACAUGGGUGGUUCAUGACAGCGUAAGCCUCGAUCAUGAUCUUAUAAAAGGUUGGCUCAUGACAUCUUCUCCCACGUAAUCUAUCGACGUCUUCGUCGAUUUGUUGGCUUGAAAUUCUUCAAUCUUUCUCUUUAAUGCCCAGAGGUCGUGGUCUCUUUCCUAGCUAGUUUUCUCUGGUCCUAACCCAUCCCACUUCAUUAAGUAUUCAUGAACUAGUCUUCGAGAUAUCUUAGUUUUUUUGUCAGCUAAGAUCUCUUCAACCUGAUGUUUUGAAGGUGGUUUCAUAGUGAUGGGGGCUUUGGUUAGCUCUUUUCGGCUAGCAUCUGUAGGAUCUGCAUGAAAAUGUUUUAGGUUGCUCACAUGAAAUACUGGGUGCAUCUUCAUCCACUUUGGUGGGUCGAUUUUAUAAGAAGUAUUUCCCGUAUUGGAGAGGAUCUUCACCGGACCCUCAUAUUUUCGCACCAAUUUUCGAUCUCGUUUUCUCAAGAACUUGAUUUAUUCAGAGACUAGUUAAACAAGAACCAAAUCACUAAUUUGGAAUUGUUGCACCCUGCGACUUUUAUCUGUCCAUUUCUUCAUUUGCUUCGAAGUUUUCUCCAGGUAGGCUUGUGCAAUCUUUGUGUUUUGCUUUCAUUUUUUAUCGAGGUUGAAGGCUCUCGGGUUUUUCUCUUCAUAUUGCUCCAGAGAUGUAUGGGGUAGCUUUGGUAGUUAUCCAAUGACCACUUCAAAUGGGCUCUUGUUGGUGGAAGAGCUUUUGUUAGAAUUAAAACAAAGUUGAGCGACGUCCAAUAAUGAAGGUCAGUCCUUCUGAUUGGCUUGAACAAAAUGCCUUAAGUAUUCUUCUAGUAAUCCAUUGAACCGUUCAGUUUGAUCGUCGGUUUUGGGGUGGUAACUUGAAGAGAUGUUGAGUUAGGACCUCAUUAUCUUAAAAAGUUUUUUCUAAAAUGACCCCGUAAAUCUUGAAUCCCUGUCGCUUACAAUGUUUUAAAGGAGGCCUUAAUAGUUGAUCACAUGUUUGAACAGAAGUUGAGCUGUGUCUUCUGCAGUACAAUACUUGUGGGUGGGAAUAAAUGUGGUAUACUUGGAGAAACAAUCAAUCACCACCAAAAUAGCUCCAAGAGUGUCAACUUUGGGAAAACCUGAAAUGAAGUCAAGAAAGAUGCUUUCCCACGGUCUAGUAGGCACCGGUAGUGGUUUAAGCAUACUUGUAAGUUUUUUCUUUUCAACUUUAUCUUGUUGGCAGAUGAGGCAAGUUUUUGUAUAGUCCAUCACGUUUUGUCGCAUGUAAGGUCAAUAGUAUCCUUGUUUUAAUAGAGCAAAAGUGCGUUGCCAACCUGGGUGCUCAGCCCAUGGUGUAUCAUGACACUCUCUCAUCAGCAUCUAUCUCAGACCUCUUACCUUCGGCACAAACAAUCGAGGAUUCUUUGUCCACAAGACACCAUUUUUUCGUCAGAAAUACUUUCACUUCUUUUUUUCAGCUAGCUUCAGGAUGGCACUAGUUUACGAGUUUUUUCUCAAAUUAUCUUCAAUUAACUUGCGAAAGUUCGUCGCAAC